rnacentral:antisense_RNA from 1 species
AGUGAAUACUCUCUGUGGGCCUACUAUGUGCCAGGCAUUAUGCACCAGAGGAAAACAUAUCUUCUUGAGAAGCCAGUGCUAAGUCACUGUUCUUGUUCAUAUUUGGAUCCCUUCCCUUUCAGGUUGGUUCAUUAACGGAAAUAUUAACAGCAACUUAUAUGUACUUCCCCACUUGUUGCUCCAAGAGAUUUACAGCCUCUUUUUCUGUCUUCAGAUACUACUUUGAAAACAAGAUGAAAGCCACGGAAUCUCCCCCUGAGAAAAAUGUACAUCUUACAGACUUUCAGUGAGUUCUGGAAUACCAGGAACCAGAGCCCACACUAAUGAACAGCAGUUUCCUAACCUAAUGAGAGAGAUUUGAGAUUUCUUCUGGCUCCCAUGAUCUUCUAAUUGUCUUCUUAGCAAGACUAAACACAUCUCCAAGAAAUGUGCACUGCCAUGAAUGUCUUCCAGCUAUCUUCUAUGACAGCACUUCCCAGUGUGUUCUGUGGAAUAAUGGUACAGGGUGAUGUUCUAUGAAGAAAAAUACGGAAAGUAAUAUAUUCCACAGUCCGUAUAUUAGAUCGGACUAAUAAAAAUAAAUAUGGAAAGUAAUAUAUUCCACAGUCAUAUAUUAGAUUGCCUACACAACAGCAAUUUGAUAUAGUUUAAUAGGAUUUGAAUGAAUAAAAUUAAUGCCCACAGCUACUUUCUUCUGCCGGUAAAUAUUUUCCUGCCCAUAAUCUUGCUAAACAAAAUUCAUCUGAACUUACGUUGUUGCCAACAAAUAUACGAACAAU